rnacentral:rRNA from 1 species
GACGAACGCUGGCGGCGUGCUUAACACAUGCAAGUCGAACGAAGAGCGAUGGAAGCUUGCUUCUAUCAAUCUUAGUGGCGAACGGGUGAGUAACGCGUAAUCAACCUGCCCUUCAGAGGGGGACAACAGUUGGAAACGACUGCUAAUACCGCAUACGAUCUAAUCUCGGCAUCGAGGAUAGAUGAAAGGUGGCCUCUACAUGUAAGCUAUCACUGAAGGAGGGGAUUGCGUCUGAUUAGCUAGUUGGAGGGGUAACGGCCCACCAAGGCGAUGAUCAGUAGCCGGUCUGAGAGGAUGAACGGCCACAUUGGGACUGAGACACGGCCCAGACUCCUACGGGAGGCAGCAGUGGGGAA